UGACAGUGUAGAGCAUUCCUGCAUAUUGU
rnacentral:piRNA from 1 species